UUGGAUAUAUUUUAUCAGUAUGUUGCUAUUAAUUUUUGAGCUUGUAUGACACUAUGAGGUGUGCAUUUUGUUUAUUAUGAAAGUAUUGGAAUAAUUAAAUUGGAAAGGAAUAACAUAUUUUUGAGAAAUUAUGAAAAUAUGUGACGUGAUUGAAAUGUGAUUAAACAUGUAAAACUAGACAUGUAAAAUGGGUUGUUACACAUGUAAAAUGGGUUGGACUAACCUUGUCAUGAGAUAGCCUCUACGAGCUUAUGCGUAGGAUAGCUGCCACGAGCUGAUGCGUGGGAUAGCCUCCACGGGCUUACGCGUGGGAUAGCCUCUACGAGCUUAUGCGUAGGAUAGCCUCCACGGGCUUACGCGUGGGAUAGGCUCUACGAGCUUAUGCGUAGGAUAGCCUCCACGGGCUUACGCGUGGGAUAGCUGCCACGAGCUUAUGCGUGGAAUUUGUGCAGUCUUGGACUGGG
rnacentral:lncRNA from 1 species